AAUAGCUGUCCUUAGGAGGAUAUUCAAAAUGAUCACUGUAGUAGCUGAUAUUAAUAAGCCAUUAGCCUUUCUUUAUAAAAGUAGAGCGGUUGCCACUAGAUUCAUUUGGGGCCAAAGCAGGUAGUUAAAUAAAAGCUUCCCAAGCUUUUCGCAUGGAUGGCAACUAAGCUCUUCAGUAUUGCUAGAGAUACAGCAGAAAUGGGAAACAUUAGUCAUAUCCUCCUGUUCCUCACUCCCACCCUUACCGCUGCCCAUCACAGUAUCAUCACAGGCGCAUUAGUCAUGCUGAGAAAAUGUAGUUUCUAGGCCCUGGUUUUGGAUUGGAUUCAUUGGGCGGGGUGAGGUGGGGCUUCCUGAAUAAUCAACUAAAGCCUCUUUGUCGUUCCUUUAAAAGAACUGGAAUAUUUCCUGGGAAUGGAAAAACAGAUAGAUACGACUCAUAAUCUAACGAAAAAUGCUACCAACCCAGAAAAUGGAGACUGUUUUGUGGUCCUCUGGGAGGCAUCUAAAGGCUUGGUAAAAAGAAACACUAACAACAGAGGGUGGAGAACUUAGCCAUUACUGAACUGGUGGAUCUCCAAAGGGAUAGAUGCAACUGUUGGUCUUGGCUGUUUCCAUGGAGAAGCAGAAGUCUCCAUAUUUAAAGAUGGGUUUCCCAACCAGGAAAAUACAACUCAAUUAGGUGCCAGGGACACUGCACUGCACAAGACAGACAAGCUUCCUGCUCUUGGGGAAUUUAUAUUCUAGGUAAGUAACACAGGAUAAACACAAAGAUUAAAAAUAAAGGGAAUAUUUUCAGAUAGUGGUAAACACAGUGAAGAAAACACAACAGGUUCAAGCUUGGUGGAGUGUUACUCUAUCCCGGGAAGUCGAGUGAAGGUACAGUCUCCUGGGUCAGAUGAGAAGGAGCCAGCCACAGACAGCCUGGGGAAAGAUUUUUCCAGAAUGUGCAAAAGACCUGAGGUGGAAAUGAGCUGGCAGCUGGCAGGAACAAACUUGGCCUGAGAGUGGUACAGCAGGCAUUUAGAGGGAGGUGGGGAGCCAGAUCAUGGAAGGCCUUGGAUGAGUGUGAUGUGUUUGGCUUAAAUUCUAAAUAUAGCAGGAAACCAACAGAAGAGUUCGAAGUAGGGGCAUGAUAAGAUCUGAAUUGCAUUUUUAAAACUUCCUUCAAGCUUCUGUCUGGUGAAUAGAUGAAAAGGCAAUUGAGAGGCCAUUUAGAAGUGUCUGCACAAGACCCGAAGUGCCCAUAAGGCUUCAGGGACACCGGACCGGAGAGGCAGCAGGGAGGAUGCCCUGUGAAAUCUGGGUUUCCCACUAAGCCACGAGCCUGUGGUUAUCCUGAGCAGCUGCAGCGUGAUAAAGCAUUGUGGGAAUCGGGGAGAUUCCACCGUGAGCAAGUGGUAGGAGAGUGAUCCCACACUGUGAUUUGGUCCGAAGCUUCUCCGUGCCUCGGAAGGCUGAAAAGCUUUAAUUUUCCAAAGAGCAGUUUGUUCCACUUUUCUGCCCUUCUCUAGAUUCCAGAAGUUGCAAGAGCGGUAUUUGCGACCCCAGCAUUUGGGUUUCUACAAAGUAUGAAUGGCCAAACUCACUUAGCAGAGAGGCACGAUUAAUGGCAAGAGGCAGCUAUGUCCUUCAGCAGGAUCCGUUUUCUGCCAGUCUUGGAGACUCGUUUCUACCUUGGCCUUCUUCUGGACAAUUACUCUCUCUCUGACUACAAAAGUAAGUAUUUGGGGGGAGGGUUUGGGCAGGAAAUCACAGCUGUAUUAAAACUUUCGUUAAGUAAAAUAAAAUGUCGAGGAGGAGAGGUAAUGGAGAAAUGAAGGGGGGGAAAAACCCCACCUCUUAACCUUAUUUUAAUCAAAAACUUGGCUUUGGCCUUCUUUCUAACUAAACACUCUCAUAUAUUGAUUCAAAAUGAGUGUCAGUUGUUAAUACACGUAAACCAGUUCAAAAGACCAGAAGUGAGCGGAAGAAUCCUAGAAAAUUUAUAGUGGGUUCUGCCUACUGGUAACUGAAGAUUCUGACUUACUAAAGUUUUUCUAAUACACUCGAGUUUACCAAUUAAAACAAUUCUUGGAAAUUGUUUUAAUUAUUUGUUUUGAGGGAGGAGCAGAGAGGGAGGGAGAGAGAAUCCCAAGCAGGCUCCACACCAUCAGCACGGAGCCUGACUUGGGGCUCGAACCUAUGAACCAGGAGAUCAUGGUGACCUGAACUGAAACCAAGGAUCGGGCACUCUGACUGAGCCACCCAGGCACCCCAAAACAACUUUUUUUUCCUUAAUACUGAAGACAUCAGCAGAGUUAAGAUGUUCUAAAUGUAACCUCUCAUCUACUCCUAUUAACCUAUGGUGUGCAAAGCAUAUCCUUUUUAAAUUUUGAGGUAGCUGAUUGAAAAAAAAUGUGUGUGUGUUUGUGUGUGUAGUAACUAUUUAAGAGACAUUGUAAAUGAACUCUGUUCUGCAAGUAAAACACAUGAGGAGAAGCAAUCUUUAGUGAGAGGCAGGAAAUUUAAAAAAAAAAAACAGAGACUUAUUCCCAUUUUUUAAAAUUUCAAGUGCUCUGGAUUAUUCUGACUUAAAAGAGGGAACAUUUACUGCUGAUCACCAUGUGCUCUGUUCAUGCCCUGAAUUCGUGGGGGAGAUCACAACUUUGUCACACGGAGCAGAAGAGAAACAGUUGUCGGAGUUUGACACAUUUUCCAAUAGAAGAAAAAUCCAGUUGCCAACUACAUAUGGGUUCAUUUUUGGGUUCCUGGAACUGAUAACACAUCAGCAUGUCUUACGAAACUUGUGCAUGGCAUGUUAUUGCAGCUGUAUAUCAUCAGAGAGAAGAAAAAUAAUUGGUUUUCCUUAGAGUAUCUCGAAGUUGAUGUCAUAUUCAAUAACCCUGUAGUUGAAAAAUCUAUAUAUGAUGGAUGAAGUUUGGACUAUCUUGAAUUUAAUUCCUCCUGUGCCAGCUUCUACAGGCCCUGGUGUACCUGUCAUUUUGAGCCGACGAACACACGUGGUUACAGAAGAGCAAACCUCCCCACCUUGGUUUAUGCAUCCCUAAUUUGAAAUGGAGAAGAACUGUUCUGGGAAGAGUACAGGACCGAGUGAAACCGAUCAGGCAGGCUCCAAGAAGUGCCUGGAUGUUGUAAUACCUUGGGUGUCAAGAACCCGCUAAAGGGGAACUAUCAUUUCCACGAUAGAGCAAGGGUGUCUAAGCCUACCGAGAGCCUUGGGGCCACAACAUCACUGGGGAAGCGGACCAACCCGUGGCCACUCAAAAGCGGUACUAAUGACCAAGUGCCCUGGAGCCCAAGCCGGCCUCCGGCAUGGGCUUCUGCACAACAAAAGACAGAAUGGCAAGAGAGCAAAAGUGAUGGGGACAGGGUAAGGAAGGGAACCCCCACCUCUGAAGCGGUGAACGGCAUUGGGGAGGGACAGGACUGGGGACCUGGAACUCCUCUGUCCUUGGACACAGAAAAAAAAAAGCCAUGGUUUAACAGAGCGCCGAGCUAGCUCAGUCCGUUAGCGUCCGACUCUUGAUUUCAGCUUAGGUCAUGAUCUCACAGUUUGGAAGUUCAAGUCCCAUGUGGGGCUCUGCGCUGUGUCAGUGUGAAGCCUGCUUGGAAUUUUCUCUCCCACUCUCUCUGCCCCACUCAUGCCUUCUGUCUCUCAAAAUAAACAAACAAACCUAAAAAAAGAUUUUUUUAAAAAGAGUGACCAGCAUCCCUAAGAGCCAGACCGUCAAGCUCCACCAAAUGGCGGAAGAGCUGUGGGGACACUCUCUGGGUCACAGGGACCAGAGAACAACACGGUUCACGCAUAGACAGAGGUAGGUCUGUACCCUCAGGUCCUCCAAGCAAACAUCAGCCCUGGAUGCACUAGGGCACACACACACAAAGCCGCAGUUUAAAAGAGUAGCUGGCAUGAAAAACAGCCCGCUCUAGAAUUCUGCUAAUGGUAGGGGUAGCUGUGGGAGGGCUCUCCGGGUGGGAGGGGCUGAUACACAGUCUCCGCUCACUACCCCUCCCACAUACUUUGAAAGCACAGAGUGAUGUCCUGGCCUGCUGCCUCAGUGAGCCCUGGACCCCUAGCCCACACCCCUACCGGCCAGCCCACCAAAGCAGCCACAGGGCGCGCACACUGGGAUAUCCUUAGUUAGCACUCACUAUAGCUCCAGCCUUCGUGCUAAGAUCACAGUCACAAGGCCCCCCCCAGAACGCUCAAGGCCCACACCACUUUGGCUUCAGAUGGCUGGCUAGGGCACCCCCCCGUGCAGAACACUCCAGAAUGUUUUGGCUGCCAUGUGCUUGAGAUCCAGUUGCCCUGCCAGGGUGCCCCAAACCCCAGUCCAUGCCUGCAUCAGUUCCAGUCAUCCCGUCAGGGCGCCCCCUGUGCAGAGCACCCCAACACUCCUUUGCCCACAUUGGCCUUGGCUUUGGUUGCCCGACCAGGGAACCCCCUGCAUGGAGUACCCAGAGACACCUCAGAUCGCACCAAAUUCAGUGAAAGCUGUCCUGCCAGGGCGCUCUCUGCACAGAACACCCCAGAACCUCCUGGCCUGUACCCCACCUCAACGCCAUCCCCUCCUUCGGGGCAUCCUCUGCUGAGAGUCUCGAAACAUCCCGGUUUACAUCCACUUCAGCUUCAGCCAUCCUGCCAACGUGCCCCCUGGGCUUCGAGCCCCAGGUCCCCCUGGUUUGCACCCACUUCAGUUCCAGCUACACUGUCAAGGAAGGCUCUGUGCAGAAAACUCUGGGAACUCCCGGCACCCACACUGCCUUAGCUCCAGCCACGCUGCUAGGGCACCCCUUGCACAGGGUGCCCCGGACUGCCCGGGUCACACCCAUUUCAGCUGUCUUGCCAGGUGCUCUCAGCGCACAGCAUCUGAGGACACCCUGGCCCGCAUCCGCUUCAGCUGUCCAGACAUGGCGCUCUCUGUGUGGAAAGCCCUGGGGUCCCCCACCCAUGCCCGUCACAGCUCAGGCCAGCCAGCAGAGAUCGCCAAGCACACACCAUCUACCUGGAGGAUGACCAUAUACAGGAUAAUUCCUUCAGGUUUAGGAGAAGUAACUGUUACACCUAAUCCACAGAAACAAACACAGAAUGUUAAGCAAAACAGGGAGACAGAGGAAUAUGCUCCAAAAUAAAGAAUAAGACAAACCCUCAGAAAAAGAACUACAUGAAAUGGAGACAGGCAAUAUGCCUGAUAAAGAAUUUAAAGUAAUGAUCAUAAAAAUGCUCAUUGGGCUGGCGAGAAGAGUGCAAGAAUUCAGUGAGGCCUUCAAUAAAGAGAUAGAAAACGUAAAAAAUAACCAAUCAGAAUUGAAUACAAUCACUAAAAUAAAAACCACAGUAGAGGGAAUCAAUGGUAGAUUAGCAGAUGCGGAAGAAUACGUCAGCGAUCUGGGAGGUAGGGUACUGGAAUGCACGCAAGCUGAAAAGCAAAACAGAAACGAAUUAAAAAAAUGAAGGCAGGUUAAGGGAUCUUUUGGACAACACUCAGCAAACAAACAUUUGCAUUAUUGGGGUCCCUGAAGAAGAGAGAGAAAGGGGUAGAAAAUUUAUAUGAAGAAAUAAUAGCUGAAAACUUCCCUAACCUCGGGAAGGAAACAGACAUCUAGGUCCAAGAAGCACAGGACAUUUCAAACAAGAUGAACUCAAGGAGGUCCAUACCAUGACACAUAAUAAUUAAAAUGUCAAAGGCUAAACACAAAGAGAAUUUUAAAAGCAAGAGAGAAGCAAAAAAUUUCCUAGAAAGGAAAUAAAGCCCUAUAAAGUCCUAUGAGACUGUCGGCUGGGGGCGCCUGGGUAGCUCAGUUGGUUAAGCGUCCAACUUCAGCUCAGAUCAUCGUCUCAUGGUG